rnacentral:rRNA from 1 species
AUUGAACGCUGGCGGCAUGCCUUACACAUGCAAGUCGAACGGCAGCACGGGUGCUUGCACCUGGUGGCGAGUGGCGAACGGGUGAGUAAUACAUCGGAACAUGUCCUGUAGUGGGGGAUAGCCCGGCGAAAGCCGGAUUAAUACCGCAUACGAUCUACGGAUGAAAGCGGGGGACCUUCGGGCCUCGCGCUAUAGGGUUGGCCGAUGGCUGAUUAGCUAGUUUGUGGGGUAAAGGCCUACCAAGGCGACGAUCAGUAGCUGGUCUGAGAGGACGACCAGCCACACUGGGACUGAGACACGGCCCAGACUCCUACGGGAGGCAGCAGUGGGGAAUUUUGGACAAUGGGCGAAAGCCUGAUCCAGCAAUGCCGCGUGUGUGAAGAAGGCCUUCGGGUUGUAAAGCACUUUUGUCCGGAAAGAAAUCCUUGGCCCUAAUACGGUCGGGGGAUGACGGUACCGGAAGAAUAAGCACCGGCUAACUACGUG